rnacentral:rRNA from 1 species
CCUACGGGAGGCAGCAGUGGGGGAUAUUGGACAAUGGGGGAAACCCUGAUCCAGCGACGCCGCGUGAGUGAAGAAGUAUUUAGGUAUGUAAAGCUCUAUCAGCAGGGAAGAAAGACAUGACGGUACCUGAGUAAGAAGCCCCGGCUAACUACGUGCCAGCAGCCGCGGUAAUACGUAGGGGGCAAGCGUUAUCAGGAAUUACUGGGUGUAAAGGGAGCGUAGACGGUAAUGCAAGUCUGGAGUGAAAGGCGGCGGCGCAACCCCCGGACUGCUCUGGAAACGGUGUAACUGGAGUGCAGGUGAGGCAGGCGGAAUUCCUAGUGUAGCGGUGAAAUGCGUAGAGAUUAGGAGGAACACCAGUGGCGAAGGCGGCCUGCUGGACUGUAACUGACGUUGAGGCUCGAAAGCGUGGGGAGCAAACAGGAUUAGAUACCCUUGUAGUC